AUUCAGCUGAUGAGUCCGAAAUAGGACGAAACGCACAUUCUGGAU
rnacentral:hammerhead_ribozyme from 1 species